GACAACACAGCUAGCUUAUGGCUAACCAACACCUUGUAGAUUUAAAGGCCUGCUAAGGAAAAUCCUCAAAGCCUUUUAUCAAGGAACACACGUCACAAUGCAUGGCAAGUAAAGAGGAGUGCUAAUCUGUGAAGCUUACGCCACGCUGAGCUGAACAUUCAGAUGACCAGAGGAGGGCAGAGGGGCGGCAGAAAGCGACUCUGCAAAGAAAGCCAAGCGCUGCUGAAGGUCUAAAGAAGGAACAAGGUUCAGAAGCCCAGGCCUCCAGAGACCAUCGCAGUCUUUUAAAGAUAUGUGCUCACUUAAUCACUGAAGAAAAGGGCCCCCAGAGCUAGCCUAAUAUUAUAAUUAAUUAAUUCAACCAAAAAGGGGUAUUAAAUUUCCUCCCUCUCAGGAUAUCAGCUGAAUACAUUGACCUUUGUGGAAAUCGCCCUCUAAUUUGAAUCAGGGUUUUUUUGAGUCGUUUACAGACUAAACUUGUUUCUUUUUCCUCUACUCCCAUCUAUUUUUUUGGGGAGGGGGGUUUCUCUCUGUCUGCAGGAGUUUGAGGAAAAAGCCUCAUACUACAGGGUGUGCGUGAGAGAGCAACUUUGUCCAUAACGUGCCUCUUUUUGUGUGCGAGUGUGCGCGUAUCUUCACAGAUUUGUGUUUUAUGUGCGUGUCUGUGCAAAAAAAAAGUGCAUGUGAGUGUGAGUGAUCCCUAGUUUUAUCUCCCUGCUGUAACACAGAAAAGAACAGAAACUUUUCUUAUUACCGGAGAGAGUGGUAGAAUAGCAGGCAGCUAAGUCUCUGUCUAUCUCUGUCUCUCUCUCAGUGGUGUAGCUGACUCCCCAGUGUACUCCGGGUCUUCAGUAACUCCGACUGAAGUUCAGAAGGGUUAGGUAGUAUACUCAGGAGGAAGGGGGGAGACAAGAGGAGGAAGACGAGGGGGGGUUAAGUAGGAUUGGAGAAGUGGCAGUUUUAAAGCAGAACUUUAAAUCUCCACCUACGAACGAGAGAGGGAGGACAAUGGCGUCAUGUGCCGCGCCGUUAUCUUCAGGUCUCUGAGAGGCGGGAGACGAGAGGACGAGAAUAAAAAAGAAGCUUGAAGAAGGGCAUACAUGUGAUAAAAGCUGUAGGCUGUAUAAUCUACGCUGCUUUUCAGGGAGGUAUGAAAAAAAAAAGAGUCAAAUCUUCGCAACCUUCAGAUUGUAAGUUCAUGGAAACAGCCUCUAGCUCAACAACAACACAGAACGAAACAGACAGAGGAUUUGCAAGAUGGAUGGAUGAAUGGAUGAGUGGAUGGCUGGACGGGUUGGCAGAUACAGAAACAAACACAGCAAAAGUACAAAUAGAUCUCAGGAGCUUAGCAAAGAAUAACGCCUGUGUGCCAGACCAUUAGCUAGUUUGUAAUCUUCAUGUUUUUCAAUUUGGGUUUUUAAAAACAAUGUUUUUCUUAGAGUGAUGAUUUGGUUGUCAAGGUCAUGAGAACUGUGCAUGAUGGAGUCUGACAAAACUUCCAAUAAAGAUAUGAUAGAGGAGUCACCACUUUCACGGGCACGCCAUCAACCGCAGGAGAAAGGGAUGGAGCAGUUAACCUUCGAAAUGUGUCAAAUCGGUGUCAGGCACAUUAUUUGUCUUAAUAAUGAUAAGCUUACUUUAGCACCUCUUCAAUCAAAAAAAAGAGGGGGAAAAAAGAUGUUAAAAUAUUUGUGUUCCAGCUCUGAUCUCUCACUAGGACCCGAACAACAGUUUGCCUAUUAUGUUCCCGAGAAGCCUUCUGGAGGAAUUUAGAGAGGGACACCAUGUCUUAAUUUGACAAAGGUUGCACCAGAUGUUCUUUCUGUCAGCGAAUGACAUUCAAGCGAUUCCAAACAACAUAUUAAUUCUCAGCGCUGAGAACUAUCAGGCCGUGUUUGACUUCCAUUUUCACUGAGCUCAACCGAGGUGUGGACCACUAACUCCCCCUACUGGCCAUGCUGAAGAAAAAGUAACCAUUUGCAGCAUAU